rnacentral:rRNA from 1 species
UACGAAGGGGGCUAGCGUUGCUCGGAAUCACUGGGCGUAAAGCGCACGUAGGCGGAUUGUUAAGUCAGGGGUGAAAUCCUGGAGCUCGACUCCAGAACUGCCUUUGAUACUGGCGAUCUUGAGUCCGGGAGAGGUGAGUGGAACUCCGAGUGUAGAGGUGAAAUUCGUAGAUAUUCGGAAGAACACCAGUGGCGAAGGCGGCUCACUGGCCCGGUACUGACGCUGAUGUGCGAAAGCGUGGGGAGCAAACAGG